rnacentral:misc_RNA from 1 species
GAAAUGCGAUACGUAGUGUGAAUUGCAGAAUUCAGUGAAUCAUCGAAUCUUUGAACGCACAUUGCGCCCUUUGGUAUUCCAAAGGGCAUGCCUGUUCGAGCGUCAUUUGUACCCUCAAGCUUUGCUUGGUGUUGGGCGUUUUUUGUCUUUGGCUCGCCCAAAGACUCGCCUUAAAACGAUUGGCAGCCGGCCUACUGGUUUCGCAGCGCAGCACAUUUUUGCGCUUGCAAUCAGCAAAAGAGGACGGCAAUCCAUCAAGACUCCUUCUCACGUUUGACCUCGGAUCGGGUAGGGAUACCCGCUGAACUUAAGC